CAGGAGGCUGAGGCAGGAGAAUUGCUUGAAUCCAGAAGGCAUAGGCUGCAGUGAGCUGAGAUGGUGCCAUUGCACUCCAGUCUGAGCAACAAGAGGGAAAUUUCAUCCCCCGUGACCCUCCCCCUGCCCAAAAAAAAGAAAGAAGAGGAAAAUCAAGAGUAAAUGGUGGCUUAACAGUCAUAGGAGGAAAGAAUCUCAAUAAAGAUGAUAAACAACAUCAUGAGUAGAAGAAAGGUCAUGUAAGCAUCUAGCUAAUCAGCUGACCAUGAGAUGCAGAGAUUAUCUGGAAUUAUCCAGAUUGGUCCAUUUAAUUACAUGAGUCCUUAAAAGUGGAAAGUGGAAGAAGAGGCAGAAGAGUGUGUCAGAGAGAUGCUGUGUGAAAAGGACUCAACCUGCCACUUGAGGCUUUGAGGCUGGAGAAAGGGGCCAUGAACCAAGGAUUGUGAGCAGCCUGUAAAAUCUGGAAAAGACAGGGCAAUACCCUUUGCUGUCUCAGGGUCAAACAUGCA
rnacentral:lncRNA from 10 species